rnacentral:rRNA from 1 species
CUACGGGAUGCUGCAGUGGGGAAUCUUGCGCAAUGGGCGAAAGCCUGACGCAGCAACGCCGCGUGCGGGAAGAAUGCCCUUUGGGCUGUAAACCGCUUUCAGCAGGAACGAAAAUGACGGUACCUGCAGAAGAAGAAGCGGCCAACUAUGUGCCAGCAGCCGCGGUAAUACAUAGGCUUCGAGCGUUGUCCGGAUUUAUUGGGCGUAAAGAGUUCGUAGGCGGUUAAGUAAGUCGGGUGUGAAAAUUCUGGGCUCAACCCAGAAACGCCACCCGAUACUGCUUGACUUGAGUUCGACAGGGGAGUGGGGAAUUCCUAGUGUAGCGGUGAAAUGCGCAGAUAUUAGGAGGAACACCGGUGGCGAAGGCGCCACUCUGGGUCGACACUGACGCUGAGGAACGAAAGCAUGGGUAGCAAACAGGAUUAGAUACCCGCGUAGUC